CCUUUGGGGGGACUGCGGAGGACAUUA
rnacentral:rRNA from 1 species